rnacentral:rRNA from 1 species
UGGAUAAGGCAUGCAAGUCGAAAGGGUUUAGACCCUUGGCAGACGAGGUAGUAACACGUAGGAACGUACCUGGAAGUCGGGCAUAACUAGCCGAAAGGUUAGAUAAUUCCCGAUGGUCUCGUAAGAGUAAAGAUUUAUCGCUUCCAGAGCGGCCUGCGUAAUAUCAGCUAGUUGGUAAGGUAAUGGCUUACCAAGGCUACGACGUUUAGGGGAGCUGAGAGGCUGACCCCCACCGAUGAGACUGAGAACGGCUCAUACCCCUACGGGGGGCCGCAGCCGAGAAUAUUCGACAAUGGGCGAAAGCCUGAUCGAGCGAUACCGCGUGGUGGUUGCUUUGCUUCGGCACGUAAACACC